GCCAUGUUAGGUAGGCGGCCAACUGCGUUUGUGGUGAUGGGCGUCAGAAAAAGACUCCUUUUUCUCCGUGCGUUUUUCUUUCCAGUGCUCUAUGAUUAAGUGUCGACUGUCCAACACGCAAGAGGGGGCGGCCACACCAUGGCCUCGCAGGUCGCAGCUAUUUAAUCCCGACGCAUCGUCAAGCCAAGAGUCAGACACGCUCUUGAGAUUGAAACCAUGGCGAGGCUGGCUGCCGGCCGGUUGCUGGUGAUCCUGCUCGCUCUCCAUCUCCUCGUCGCGUCCGUUCAUGCAGCUCGUUUCACAAGGGGCUUCAGAGCGAGGAUGGUUCAGGCUCCAGCGUUAGAGGGCGCUGAAGAUGCAGCAGAGGACAACUGGAGAAGUAACACAUUGGUAGAAGAUGUGUUUGGAAGGAUGGCUUUGCAGGUAACUGACUACCCUGGUUCAGGCCCGAAUGAUCGUCACACGCCCAAAGCCCCGGGCCCAUGAUCAAUGACAAAGACAAAUCGCCAGCUAUUGCUGAACCGUGAUGAUGUGUACAGAGAUUAGAAAACUCAUCAUCGGUUGUCUAUCAGCUAGUAAAAUAGUAGCAGCCUUCAAGUGUAAAUUUGUAGCGUGAACUUUUCGUUAAGAUUUGUAGCCUGACACCUGCCUGAAUUCUUGCGUAGUAGCAUCACAGUCCAAGGAACUACAUAGAAAGCUUAGUAUGCUCUCUAUUUGAGAGCAGGGUUCGAUGAAUAUUCUGCUACUUAGAUUAAGAAUUGUAUGAUUGAAGUAUCUGUAAAUUCUCUGGAUAGACAGGUACACACGGAACUUUGAACUUUCAGACCUUCCACAGUACCUGAUCAGUUGUUCAGUUUUCUCAAA